GACGAACGCUGGCGGCGUGCUUAACACAUGCAAGUCGAACGAUGACGACCGAGCUUGCUCGGUCUGAUUAGUGGCGAACGGGUGAGUAACACGUGAGCAACCUGCCCUUCACUCCGGGAUAACCUCGGGAAAUCGGGGCUAAUACCGGAUAUGAGCUCCUGUCGCAUGGCGGGUGUUGGAAAGUUUUUCGGUGAAGGAUGGGCUCGCGGCCUAUCAGUUUGUUGGUGAGGUAGUGGCUCACCAAGGCGAUGACGGGUAGCCGGCCUGAGAGGGCGACCGGCCACACUGGGACUGAGACACGGCCCAGACUCCUACGGGAGGCAGCAGUGGGGAAUAUUGCACAAUGGGCGAAAGCCUGAUGCAGCGACGCCGCGUGAGGGAUGACGGCCUUCGGGUUGUAAACCUCUUUCAGCAGGGAAGAAGCGAAAGUGACGGUACCUGCAGAAGAAGCGCCGGCUAACUACGUG
rnacentral:rRNA from 1 species